GUUAAGCAUAGAUACGGCUCAUGGUGGAUGCCUUGGCAUGGACAGGCGAUGAAGGGCGUGAUAAGCUGCGAUAAGCCACGAGGAGUUGCAAAUAAACGUUGAUUCGUGGAUUUCCGAAUGGGGAAACCUGGCAAACAAAGUUUGUCACUUGGCACUGAAUACAUAGGUGUUAAGAGCUAACCCGGCCAACUGAAAUAUCUCAGUAGCCGGAGGAAAAGAGAACAAUCGUGAUUCCCUCAGUAGUGACGAGCGAAGGGGGAAAAGCCUAAACUGACGUGGUUUCGGCUGCGUCAGGGUUGUGGGGCCCACAAUACGGAGCCACGCGUCGAAAUUGAAGCUGACUGGAAAGCAGCGCCAAAGAGGGUGAUAGCCCCGUAAGUGUAAGACAACUGGCCCCAGUGGGAUACCCCGAGUAUCACGGGACCGGAGAAAUCCUGUGAGAACCCGCCAGCACCAUCUGGUAAGGCUAAAUACUCGUCCAUGACCGAUAGUGGACCAGUACCGUGAGGGAAAGGUGAAAAGAACGCCUAAUCGGCGAGCGAAAAGCACCUGAAACCAUGAGCUAACAAUCAGUCGGAGCACCUUCGGGUGUGACGGCGUGCCUUUUGCUUAAUGAGCCUACGAGUUGCUCCUCACUGGCCAGGUUAAGGCCUUCAGGGCCGGAACCGCAGCGAAAGCAAGUCCGAAAUGGGCGCCGAGUCAGUGGGGGCAGACGCGAAACCGGGUGAGCUACCCUUGUUCAGGUUGAAGCGCGGGUAACACCGCGUGGAAGACCGUACCGACCAGUGUUGAAAAACUGCCGGAUGAAGUGAGGGUAGGGGUGAAAGGCCAAUCAAACCCGGAAAUAGCUCGUUCUCCCCGAAAUGCAUUUAGGUGCAGCGUUGUGCUAAAGUGUGCUGGAGGUAGAGCACUGAUUGGACUAGGGCCCUUCACCGGGUACCAAAUCCAGACAAACUCCAAAUGCCAGCUACACGUUCCACAACAGUGAGGGUGCGAGGGAUAAGCUUCGUACCCAAGAGGGAAACAACCCAGACCGACAGCUAAGGCCCCAAAGUCCAGACUAAGUUGAUUGAAGGAAGUCGGACUGCUUAGACAACCAGGAUGUUGGCUUAGAAGCAGCCAUUCAUUAAAAGAGUGCGUAAUAGCUCACUGGUCGAGCGGUCCGGCGCCGAAGAUUAUCGGGCAUCAAGUCUGGCGCCAAAGCUUCGGAUUCGUCUUUUGGCGAAUGGUAGGGGAGCAUUCUAGCGGCACGGAAGCUGCGUUGUGAGGCGCAGUGGAGCUUCUGGAAAAGAAAAUGUAGGCAUGAGUAACGAUAAGACGUGUGAGAAACACGUCCGCCGCAAGCCUAAGAGUUCCUGUUCAACGCUAAUCGGAACAGGGUUAGUCGGGACCUAAGCUGAGGCCGAAAGGCGUAGGCGAUGGAAAACGAGUCAAUAUUCUCGUACCUCCCAACAGCGCUAACACAAGGCAUGACGUGGCAGCGUAAGGGCCGCGUGCUGACGGAAGCACGUUGAAGCAUGUAGGCUGGGAACUAGGCAAAUCCGGUUCCCAUGACGGCCGAAAUGCAACAGUAGGAGGAGCCGACAGGCAAAUCCAUAGAGCCCCUAAGCAUACCACCGAGAAAAGUGUCGUGUGUCGCUUCGGGAGCCCGUAUCACAAACCGACACAGGUAGGCGAGGAGAGUAUCCUCAGGCGCUCGAGUGAAUCGUGGUCAAGGAAUUCGGCAAAUUAGUCCCGUAACUUCGGGAGAAGGGACGCUCUUCCUUGUUCACAAGUGAGGAAGAGCCGCAGUAACCAGGCCCAAACGACUGUUUAACAAAAACACAGACCUCUGCUAAGUCGCAAGACGACGUAUAGGGGUUGACACCUGCCCGGUGCUGGAAGGUUAAUGGAGCGUGUUAAUGUCCUUCGGGGCAUGAAGCUCGCAACUGAAGCCCCAGUAAACGGCGGCCGUAACUAUAACGGUCCUAAGGUAGCGAAAUUCCUUGUCGGGUAAGUUCCGACCUGCACGAAUGGUGCAACGAUUUGGGCACUGUCUCGACCGCGAGCUCGGUGAAAUUGUGGUGCCGGUGAAGACGCCGGCUACCCUCAGUGGGACGGAAAGACCCUGUGCACCUUUACUACAACUUGGCAUUGACAUUAGUCAGGACAUGUGCAGGAUAGGCGGGAGGCAUUGAAGCUGCGUCGCCAGGCGCAGUGGAGCCAUCACUGAAAUACCGCCCUUGCCCUGAUUGAUGCCUAACCUGCAACCGUGAGCCGGUUGAGAGACAUUGUCAGGUGGGUAGUUUGACUGGGGCGGUCUCCUCCCAAAUUGUAACGGAGGAUUUCAAAGGUACCCUCAGCAUGGUCGGUAAUCAUGCAUAGAGUACAAAGGCAAAAGGGUGCUUGACUGCGAGACAUACAGGUCGAGCAGAUGCGAAAGCAGGACUUAGUGAUCCGGCAGUUCUGAAUGGAAGGGCUGUCGCUCAAAGGAUAAAAGGUACGCCAGGGAUAACAGGCUUAUCUCCGCCAAGAGUUCAUAUCGACGCGGAGGUUUGGCACCUCGAUGUCGGCUCGUCGCAUCCUGGGGCUGAAGAAGGUCCCAAGGGUUGGGCUGUUCGCCCAUUAAAGCGGCACGCGAGCUGGGUUCAGAACGUCGUGAGACAGUUCGGUCCCUAUCUACUGAGGGCGUCGGAGACUUAAGCGGAGCUGCUUCUAGUACGAGAGGACCGAAGUGGACGGACCGCUAGUGUACCAGUUGUACCGCCAGGUGCAUCGCUGGGUAGCUAUGUCCGGAAGGGAUAAGCGCUGAAAGCAUCUAAGCACCAAGCCUUCCGCAAGAUUAGGUCUCCCUCAUGGAUCGUUCGAGACGAGGACGUAGAUAGGCGGCAGGUGUAAGCGUAGUGAUACGUUUAGCCGAGCCGUACUAAUUAUCCAUAAGGCUUAACACCC
rnacentral:rRNA from 1 species